ACGAACGCUGGCGGCAUGCCUAACCCAUGCCAGUCGAACGAGACCUUCGGGUCUAGUGGCGCACGGGUGCGUAACGCGUGGGAACCUGCCCUUAGGUUCGGAAUAACUCCCCGAAAGGGGUGCUAAUACCGGAUAAUGUCUUCGGACCAAAGAUUUAUCGCCUUUGGAUGGGCCCGCGUUGGAUUAGCUAGUUGGUAGGGUAAAAGCCUACCAAGGCGACGAUCCAUAGCUGGUCUGAGAGGAUGAUCAGCCACACUGGGACUGAGACACGGCCCAGACUCCUACGGGAGGCAGCAGUGGGGAAUAUUGGACAAUGGGCGAAAGCCUGAUCCAGCAAUGCCGCGUGAGUGAUGAAGGCCUUAGGGUUGUAAAGCUCUUUUACCCGGGAUGAUAAUGACAGUACCGGGAGAAUAAGCGCCGGCUAACUCCGUG
rnacentral:rRNA from 1 species